AACUUUUUCAGCGGCUUACAAGCUUUCGUGCGAAAUGUUCGGAGUUUGCUUUGGGCAAACAGGCUGACUUUUCUCGCUUUAUAGAAAACCAAACCCAUAACGCGCAACCAUCUUAUAUGCAUGAGCAUCGCCCUAAGUUUACCCCAAAUGUUGGACAGAAUUACCCAACAGCGUUUCAGUAUCCCGCCAGUAAUAUUCCGCAUCCGGCAUUUGGCGAGCAUCGGCCUUUUGGACCGGCCACUUACCACCGUCUCCCC